rnacentral:rRNA from 1 species
ACCAGACUCCUACGGGAGGCAGCAGUGGGGAAUAUUGCACAAUGGGGGAAACCCUGAUGCAGCGACGCCGCGUGAAGGAAGAAGUAUCUCGGUAUGUAAACUUCUAUCAGCAGGGAAGAAAACAGACGGUACCUGACUAAGAAGCCCCGGCUAACUACGUGCCAGCAGCCGCGGUAAUACGUAGGGGGCAAGCGUUAUCCGGAUUUACUGGGUGUAAAGGGAGCGUAGACGGCAGCGCAAGUCUGGAGUGAAAUGCCGGGGCUCAACCCCGGAACUGCUUUGGAAACUGUGCAGCUGGAGUGCGGGAGAGGUAAGCGGAAUUCCUAGUGUAGCGGUGAAAUGCGUAGAUAUUAGGAGGAACACCAGUGGCGAAGGCGGCUUGCUGGACCGUAACUGACGUUGAGGCUCGAAAGCGUGGGGAGCAAACAGGAUUAGAUACCCGGGUAUU